rnacentral:SRP_RNA from 1 species
GCUGGGUGUGGUGGUGCACGCCUGUAAUCCCAGCUGCUCAGGAGGCUGAGGCAGGAGAAUCACUUGAACCCAGGAGGCAGAGGUUGCAUUGAGCCGAGAUUGUGCCACUGAACUCCAGCCUGGGCAACAGAGUGAGACUCUGUCUCAA